rnacentral:rRNA from 1 species
GUACACAAAAAUGCACAUAUUGUGAGCUCGAUGAGUAGGGCGGGACACGUGGUAUCCUGUCUGAAUAUGGGGGGACCAUCCUCCAAGGCUAAAUACUCCUGACUGACCGAUAGUGAACCAGUACCGUGAGGGAAAGGCGAAAAGAACCCCGGCGAGGGGAGUGAAAAAGAACCUGAAACCGUGUACGUACAAGCAGUGGGAGCCUCUUUAUGGGGUGACUGCGUACCUUUUGUAUAAUGGGUCAGCGACUUAUAUUCUGUAGCAAGGUUAACCGAAUAGGGGAGCCGAAGGGAAACCGAGUCUUAACUGGGCGUUAAGUUGCAGGGUAUAGACCCGAAACCCGGUGAUCUAGCCAUGGGCAGGUUGAAGGUUGGGUAACACUAACUGGAGGACCGAACCGACUAAUGUUGAAAAAUUAGCGGAUGACUUGUGGCUGGGGGUGAAAGGCCAAUCAAACCGGGAGAUAGCUGGUUCUCCCCGAAAGCUAUUUAGGUAGCGCCUCGUGAAUUCAUCUCCGGGGGUAGAGCACUGUUUCGGCAAGGGGGUCAUCCCGACUUACCAACCCGAUGCAAACUGCGAAUACCGGAGAAUGUUAUCACGGGAGACACACGGCGGGUGCUAACGUCCGUCGUGAAGAGGGAAACAACCCAGACCGCCAGCUAAGGUCCCAAAGUCAUGGUUAAGUGGGAAACGAUGUGGGAAGGCCCAGACAGCCAGGAUGUUGGCUUAGAAGCAGCCAUCAUUUAAAGAAAGCGUAAUAGCUCACUGGUCGAGUCGGCCUGCGCGGAAGAUGUAACGGGGCUAAACCAUGCACCGAAGCUGCGGCAGCGACACUAUGUGUUGUUGGGUAGGGGAGCGUUCUGUAAGCCUGUGAAGGUGGCCUGUGAGGGUUGCUGGAGGUAUCAGAAGUGCGAAUGCUGACAUAAGUAACGAUAAAGCGGGUGAAAAGCCCGCUCGCCGGAAGACCAAGGGUUCCUGUCCAACGUUAAUCGGGGCAGGGUGAGUCGACCCCUAAGGCGAGGCCGAAAGGCGUAGUCGAUGGGAAACAGGUUAAUAUUCCUGUACUUGGUGUUACUGCGAAGGGGGGACGGAGAAGGCUAUGUUGGCCGGGCGACGGUUGUCCCGGUUUAAGCGUGUAGGCUGGUUUUCCAGGCAAAUCCGGAAAACCAAGGCUGAGGCGUGAUGACGAGGCACUACGGUGCUGAAGCGACAAAUGCCCUGCUUCCAGGAAAAGCCUCUAAGCAUCAGGUAACAUCAAAUCGUACCCCAAACCGACACAGGUGGUCAGGUAGAGAAUACCAAGGCGCUUGAGAGAACUCGGGUGAAGGAACUAGGCAAAAUGGUGCCGUAACUUCGGGAGAAGGCACGCUGAUAUGUAGGUGAAGCGACUUGCUCGUGGAGCUGAAAUCAGUCGAAGAUACCAGCUGGCUGCAACUGUUUAUUAAAAACACAGCACUGUGCAAACACGAAAGUGGACGUAUACGGUGUGACGCCUGCCCGGUGCCGGAAGGUUAAUUGAUGGGGUUAGCGGUAACGCGAAGCUCUUGAUCGAAGCCCCGGUAAACGGCGGCCGUAACUAUAACGGUCCUAAGGUAGCGAAAUUCCUUGUCGGGUAAGUUCCGACCUGCACGAAUGGCGUAAUGAUGGCCAGGCUGUCUCCACCCGAGACUCAGUGAAAUUGAACUCGCUGUGAAGAUGCAGUGUACCCGCGGCAAGACGGAAAGACCCCGUGAACCUUUACUAUAGCUUGACACUGAACAUUGAGCCUUGAUGUGUAGGAUAGGUGGGAGGCUUUGAAGUGUGGACGCCAGUCUGCAUGGAGCCGACCUUGAAAUACCACCCUUUAAUGUUUGAUGUUCUAACGUUGGCCCGUAAUCCGGGUUGCGGACAGUGUCUGGUGGGUAGUUUGACUGGGGCGGUCUCCUCCUAAAGAGUAACGGAGGAGCACGAAGGUUGGCUAAUCCUGGUCGGACAUCAGGAGGUUAGUGCAAUGGCAUAAGCCAGCUUGACUGCGAGCGUGACGGCGCGAGCAGGUGCGAAAGCAGGUCAUAGUGAUCCGGUGGUUCUGAAUGGAAGGGCCAUCGCUCAACGGAUAAAAGGUACUCCGGGGAUAACAGGCUGAUACCGCCCAAGAGUUCAUAUCGACGGCGGUGUUUGGCACCUCGAUGUCGGCUCAUCACAUCCUGGGGCUGAAGUAGGUCCCAAGGGUAUGGCUGUUCGCCAUUUAAAGUGGUACGCGAGCUGGGUUUAGAACGUCGUGAGACAGUUCGGUCCCUAUCUGCCGUGGGCG